CACCGAGUCCGAGAUUCCGGGCGUCACCGGAAUCUGGUGCAAAAGGGA
rnacentral:sRNA from 21 species